rnacentral:lncRNA from 1 species
AAAUCAGCAAUGACAGUCUUUUCUGUUAGUUCCCACCUUCAUUUCUCUUUACUUUUCCCCUUGCUCUUCAAUGAGGUGUAGUCCUGUUUAUGUAAAAUGAGUGCAUACCUGACCUUUACUGUGUAUGCCACCUUCCCUUCCAACCUAGGCAGUGGUCGAUUUUUUGACGUAGAGCUCUGUUUGUAGUUGACUGACAAUUCCAAUUCGCUGGUGCUGAAGUAAUUGCAUCUUGCUUUCUUCAUGUGCCCCGUCAGCAUGAAUGAGUGCUUGUGUGUCUGUGCACGUGUGCAUGGUGAGCAAUUAAAAACAAAAUGAAACACAAAUGCAGAGUUAUUUUCUUAAUGUAGUAAGUGUCCUUCUACAAAGGCAUCUACCUGAGCACCCCAGGCACAUUCCUCUUGGUGCAGCAGAAAGCCCAGGUGCUUCUCUCUGACCGCCCGCAUUCCGCACUGUGAUAACUCAAGUCUAAAUCUGUCAUGUGGAUGGCUGUAUGAUUUCUGUCCUAUUAGCAAAUGUCAAUGGAGAGCUGUUAAACUGUGUCCUUUUGUGUGUGUGCAUAGAUUGGCAGAUCUGUAGGACAACUCUGGCAUGGUACAAAAAAACCCCAACAUUACUGUAUGUGGUCUUCAGACAUCAAUUUUGUAGUGCAGAAUUGUGUUUUCUGAUGCUUUGUUCUUAGUGUUAUACAUUUGCCUUUAAAAAUGGCCUUAAAAAAAGGGAGGAUGGAGAGUCGGGGGGACCCUUGGAGGACCUGGUGUACCACUGCCAGCAGCACCAUGGCCUCUGCAAGGACUGUGCCAUGGUAUGAGCACAUCGAAGCUCCAGUGAGGUUUUGCUGGGCCUUCUGAAGGGCAGAUUACCUGAUGUUACCCUUUGGAGAGAAACAGUGGCCAAACUCAUUGCCUGGGGCCAUGAGAAACAAUACCCUGUGACUCUGAGUCAUUCUGCCUGUGACACCCUGAAAGAGUUUCAGCUGAUCAUUUCCUUUUCCUCUGUACAUGUGGAUACUGUAUGAGUUUGUACAAACACGUAAACAAAACUAUCUUAGAUAAAAAGAACAGUGAUACUAGUGCAGAAGCAUCUCCCAGAUUCCUUGGUAAACUGUGUUGUAGCCUCUCUGGCCACAGAAAUCUCCAUGCUUUUGCCAAAAGCCUAUUUCAUUCUGUGUAUGUGUGCUCGAUGGCCUCUCCAUUUUUGUACAAGUGCUGUCACCUGGGUGCAUUCCCACCUGAUUGUUCACCGGUAACCAUGUCCAUUGGGUGUAAAGAAGUUGCUGCCUUUUCCUUUUAAACUGUCGACUUGGUUCUACAAGAGAACAGAUUACCUGCCUUUGUAGCCUAAACAUGUAUGUAUGUAGCUAAGUAUGUUAUGCUUUUUCUUUCAAAUAAAUAUUUUCUG